rnacentral:rRNA from 1 species
GUGAACGCUAGCGGUGCGCCUAACACAUGCAAGUCGAACGGGUUCAGACCCGUGGCGAACGGCUGCGUAACACGUUGGUACCUGCCCCAGACUCAGGGAUAACCCCGCGAAAGCGGGGCUAAUACCGGAUGGUCUCGAAAGAGUAAAGCUUUCGCGGUCUGGGAGGGGCCUGCGGCCUAUCAGGUAGUUGGUAAGGUAACGGCUUACCAAGCCUAUGACGGGUAGCUGGAUUGAGAGAUCGACCAGCCAGAAUGGGACUGAGACACGGCCCAUACUCCUACGGGAGGCAGCAGUGAGGAAUCUUCCGCAAUGGGGGCAACCCUGACGGAGCGACACCGCGUGAAGGAUGAAGACAGUUUCUGUUGUAAACUUCUGUUCUGAGGGACGAAAUUUUUGACGGUACCUCAGGAGAAAGCACCGGCUAAUCUCGU